ACGCGAAUCAAGCAGCUUCUGUGGGUGACUUUUUCAGAUCUACCGCAUCUCUCUUCUCCUUCACAACCGAGAACAUUGAGACCUAAAAGGUGAAAGAGGACGCUCUAGCAAGAAGAUGAAGUACGGUGGGAAGGAUGAUCAAAAGAUGAUGAACAUCCAAAAUGAAUAAUAUUAUCUUGGUGAUGAUGCCGAUAAGGAUUCUCGU